rnacentral:rRNA from 1 species
ACGGCUCAGUAACACGUGGAUAACUUGCCCUUGGGUCCGGGAUAACCCCUGAGAAAUUGGGGACAAUACCGGAUAGGGCAUCGAUAGCUGGAAUGCGCGAUGUCCAAAAGCUGAGGCGCCCAAGGAUAGGUCUGCGGCCGAUUAGGUUGUUGUUGAUGUAAUGGAUCAACAAGCCUGCAAUCGGUACGGGUUGUGAGAGCAAGAGCCCGGAGAUGGGUUCUGAGAAAAGAACCCAGGUCCUACGGGACGCAUCAGGCGCGAAAACUUUACAAUGUGCGAAAGCACGAUAAGGGAACUCUGAGUGCCUCCUAUGGAGGCUGUUCAGGUGUCUAAAAAGCACUUGAAGUAAGGGCUGGGUAAGACCGGUGCCAGCCGCCGCGGUAACACCGGCAGCCCAAGUGGUAGCCACGAUUAUUGGGUCUAAAGCGUCCGUAGCCGGCCAGGUAAGUUCUUUGGGAAAUUUAACCGCUCAACGGUUAAGCUAUCAGGGAAUACUGCUU